rnacentral:rRNA from 1 species
UACGGAGGGUGCAAGCGUUGUUCGGAAUCACUGGGCGUAAAGCGCGUGUAGGUGGUCUUUUAAGUCUGGUGUGAAAGCCCGGGGCUCACCCCCGGAAGGGCACUGGAUACUGGGAGACUAGAGUACCGGAGAGGAAGGUGGAAUUCCUGGUGUAGCGGUGAAAUGCGUAGAUAUCAGGAGGAACACCGGUGGCGAAGGCGGCCUUCUGGACGGCUACUGACACUGAGACGCGAAAGCGUGGGGAGCAAACAGG